ensembl:lncRNA
CCAUAGAGCCCCCAGGUGUUCAUAUUCCUCCUUAAGGCUGCAGCCAAGGAAAGGCCUUUUGGGGUUUUCUUUUGGAAGCAAAGGAUACAGUGAUUGGGGGACCUCCUGUGAAAAAGUCUUGGGGAAUGGAAGUUCUGACUCCAGCAUAACAGCUGAAGCUGGGGAUUGGCCUGACCCAGCUCCACUGGGAAAAGGUCCCAAUGAUUAAUGUUGAGGAGGGAGGGGAAGUGGCAUCACAGAUACUGAUUAUAAUACAAGGAGCUUUAUUCAUAACUACCCAAACAUGGAAGCAACCGAGAUGUCCCCCAAUAGGCAAGAAGAUACAUAAACUGGGAUACAUCAAGGCAAUGGGAACGCCAUUCAGCAACAAAAAGAGAUGAACUACAGAGACAUGAGGAGAACCCCAAAUGCAUAUUACUGGCUGAAAGAAGACAUCUGAAAAGGUCACACACCAUAAACCCCAGUCAUAUAGGAUGCUACGGAGAAGACAAAAGUAUGGAGACAGCAAAAAGAUCAGCGGGUUGCCAGGAGUCAGGGUGGAGAGAGGGAAGAACCCAGGUGUUUCUCAUCCCAGGAUUCCCCUGCAAUCCUGGUAGAACACCGAGAUCCCGAGAGAUCCUGCAAGAUUGUGCUGCUUCUGCCAAGAGUGGUUGCAGCAGCAGCGUCUGGGGUCUGAUUCCACCAUUUUCUGAGCCACCCUUGAAACUCAGCACAAGUUUUUUGGAUUUUAACCAUUCGAAUAUGUAUAUGGAAGUAUCACAUUUUUAUUUUAAUUGGCAAUUCCCUAAUGACAAAUGAUUUUGUGCCUUUUUUACUUGGGCCGUUUGUUUUUCUAUUGUUGAUUUUAAAGGGUUCUUUGUGUAUUUUGGCUAUAAGUCCUUUAUCAGAUAUAUAUUUUC